GACAGAGGUCCCGAGCGUUAGGCGGAAUCACUGGGCUUAAAGCGUGUGUAGGCGGAUCUGUAAGUACCUUGUGAAAUCCCACGGCUCAACCGUGGAACUGCUUGGUAUACUGCGGAUCUUGAGGUACUUAGGGGCAACUGGAACAAAUGGUGGAGCGGUGAAAUGCGUAGAUAUCAUUUGGAACGCCAAUGGUGAAAACAAGUUGCUGGGAGUAUUCUGACGCUGAGACACGAAAGCCAGGGGAGCAAACGGG
rnacentral:rRNA from 1 species